rnacentral:rRNA from 1 species
ACGAACGCUGGCGGCGUGCCUAAUACAUGCAAGUAGAACGCACAGUUUAUACCGUAGCUUGCUACACCAUAGACUGUGAGUUGCGAACGGGUGAGUAACGCGUAGGUAACCUGCCUGGUAGCGGGGGAUAACUAUUGGAAACGAUAGCUAAUACCGCAUAAUAUUGAUUAUUGCAUGAUAAUUAAUUGAAAGGUGCAAUUGCACCACUACCAGAUGGACCUGCGUUGUAUUAGCUAGUAGGUGAGGUAACGGCUCACCUAGGCGACGAUACAUAGCCGACCUGGGAGGGUGAACGGCCACACUGGGAAUGGGACACGGCCCAGGCUCCUACGGGAGGCAGCAGUAGGGAAUCUUCGGCAAUGGACGAAAGUCUGACCGAGCAACGCCGCGGGAGGGAAGAAGGUUUUCGGAUCGGAAAGCUCUGUUGUAAGAGAAGAAAGGGUGUGAGAGUGGAAAGUUCACACUGUGACGGUAUCUGACCAGAAAGCGACGGCUAACUACGUG